GCAAUACCAUAGUGGCGCACGGGUGCGUAACACGUAACUAACCUACCUAUAACUGGGGGAUAGCCCGCCGAAAGGCGGAUUAAUACCGCAUAAGCUGCUUAGGUGGCAUCACCUGAAUAGUAAAGAUUUAUUGGUUAUAGAUGGGGUUGCGGGUCAUUAGCUAGUUGGUAAGGUAACGGCUUACCAAGGCGACGAUGACUAGGGGAGCUGAGAGGCUGGUCCCCCACACGGGCACUGAGAUACGGGCCCGACUCCUACGGGAGGCAGCAGUAGGGAAUAUUGGGCAAUGGGCGAGAGCCUGACCCAGCCAUGCCGCGUGCAGGAAGAAGGCUUUCUGAGUCGUAAACUGCUUUUGACAGGGAAGAAUAAGGUGUACGUGUACACUGAUGACGGUACCUGCAGAAUAAGCACCGGCUAACUCCGUGCCAGCA
rnacentral:rRNA from 1 species